GAGCGGGCAGUGAGGAUGCCCUGCUCCGGAUGCAGUUCGAGGUCACAGGCAUGGAAGUCUCUCUUGCUCCCUUUUCAGUCUCUCCGCUGAGCUCCAGCUGUUAGCCAACUACACGGGAGACAACAUCACUGCCCUUCAGUCGGAGCUAUGUUUCCAAAAGGAAGCCCAAUCGAUCAUGUUGUUGAGCCCAUCAGGAGCACCCCUCCCAUGAGAAGACCUUCUCGAGAUCACCCAGCACUUGGACAAGACCUACAGCUUCCCACAGGCGCCGUUUCUUGAGGAAGACCUCUGAACCUCAAGGAGGGACAAUUGAUCCCCGAAGGGGUCUGAGCCCUGCUGGGAUCAAAAGGGGGGAUUGUUUUGGAACAGCACUCCGAGGAUAGCAGCUCUUUAUUUAAAUGACUCUGUUUUUGAUUCAGGAAAUCCCCCAUUUCAGGUGGGAUGCAUACCACAUCCUCAAAUUCCAGGGUACAGGAGAUUGCUUCUUACCCAAAACAGAUAAGGCCUGCUUGAAGAGUCUCUUUUGUCAUUGAAGAAAACAGAUUUGUCCGAGUUCUUUGGUGAUUGGCUAGUUCUAUACGUUGUAAA